UACAGAUGAAUUAAUAACCUAUCUAUAAACUAUUUAUAAGCCAUCUAAGGGGAGCAUUAUUGUAAAGUGGUACUGUUUUUUGCAGAUAAAGGUGACUCAAAAUUCAUUUUCAAAAUCAAAUGUUUUUUUCUAAUUUAUGUCUUUAAUUGUGUCUUAUUUUUUUCUCAAACAAAAAUCAAAAACCCAGGUGUCUUGAAGCUUUUUUUCUGCAUGCUCCAUACGUAGAUUGUUCAGAAAAAGUCCUUAAUUUGGAGUUAUUAGGUAUAAAAACCAAAUACUUGCGCCGAACUUUUCACAAUUUAUAAAUGUGGACAGCAGCUAUAAAAAACACACGCUGGUUGACUUCUAUUAAAUUGAUGCCAGAGUUCAAACUUUAAAUUUAGAGCCAUUAAAAACUCGUUUUAUGGUUUUGUUGAUUUCACGUUUUUCAGCUUUUUUCCGGAUGUUUUAUCUGCAGCAUUUUUCUCUUUCCAGCAGUUUUCUUUUGUCAUGAAUCAGACGGGAGUGUAGAGCUGAACGCGAACAGUCUUCUACCUCCUGCAGGAUAUUCUACGUUUCCCACGACUCUCAGGAUCUAAAGAUCUUCAGCUACAUCGCCAGAGACGGACAGAGCAACGUCUUCCGCUGCAACGUCUUCAAGUCCAAAAAGAAGGUGAGACAAAGAGACGCAUCCCGGAAAUAAAGUCAGACUUUUGUUUCUCCCAAAAUAAAAGUUAAGAAUCCGACAGUUCUGCCUGGUUUGGUUGCAAACAGAGACGCAGCUGGGUCUCCGGGUUUUAGGAAAGUCAAACAAGUCAUUCCAGUUUCUGUUUUCUUAUUUAUCUCUUACCUGGACUUAUUCAUUUUUAUCAGCUACUUUGAAAUAAAAAAUAAAGGAGAUUUGGUGUAGAAAAUAUUUGA